UCGAGAGGCUUCGGCAAUGGGGGAAACCCUGACCGAGCGACGCCGCGUGGGGGAUGAAGGCCUUUGGGUUGUAAACCCCUGUCAAGUGGGACGAAACACUCUGAGGUGAUAAGCCGAGGGGUUUGACGGUACCGCCAGAGGAAGCUCCGGCUAACUCCGUGCCAGCAGCCGCGGUAAUACGGGGGGAGCAAGCGUUGUUCGGAAUUACUGGGCGUAAAGGGCGUGUAGGCGGCCUUGUAAGUCGGGGGUGAAAUCCACUGGCUCAACCAGUGACGUGCCUUCGAAACUGCUUGGCUUGAGUAUGGCAGAGGAGAGCGGAAUUCCAGGUGUAGCGGUGAAAUGCGUAGAUAUCUGGAAGAACACCGGUGGCGUAGGCGGCUCUCUGGGCCAAUACUGACGCUGAUGCGCGAAAGCCAGGGGAGCGAAACGGGAUUAGAUACCCCGGUAGUCCUGGCCCUAAACGUUGGAUACUAGGUGUAGGAGGCAUCGACCCUUCUGUGCCGCAGCUAACGCUAAG
rnacentral:rRNA from 1 species